UCUCUGCAGGCGCUCGGGCUCUUUAAGUACAAUAUAGACAAACUUUAUGGAUAACAACUUCUGUAUUUGGUGAGUACGACGUGUCGAUACAGAUUCGUGUAAGGCUGUCUAGCAUAAUGG